rfam:Poecilia formosa, whole genome shotgun sequence.
GUUCCUGUAGUGUAGUGGUUAUUAUGUUUGCUUUACAUGCUAAAGGUCUCUGGUUCAAAACCAGACAGAAACA